rnacentral:misc_RNA from 1 species
GAUGAAGAACGUAGCGAAAUGUGAUAAGUAAUGCGAAUUGCAGAAUUCAGUGAGUCAUCGAAUCUUUGAACGCACAUUGCGCCCUGUGGUAUUCCGCAGGGCAUGCCUGUUCGAGCGUCAUUUCAACCCUCAAGCUCUGCUUGGUGUUGGGCCCUGCCCGCUGCGGCCGGCCCUAAAGACAGUGGCGGUGCCGCCUGGCCCUGAGCGUAGUACAUCUCUCGCUCCAGUGCCCGGUGGUAGCCUGCCAGAACCCCAACUCUCGUGGUUGACCUCGGAUCAGGGAGGGAUACCCGCUGAACUUAAGCAUAUCAAUAAGCGGAGGA